GAUGAAGAACGUAGCGAAAUGCGAUAAGUAAUGUGAAUUGCAGAAUUCAGUGAAUCAUCGAAUCUUUGAACGCACCUUGCGCCCUUUGGCCAUUCCGAAGGGCAUGCCUGUUUGAGUAUCAUGAACACCUCAACUCUUCAUGGUUUUCCAUGAUGAGCUUGGACUUUGGGGGUCUUGCUAGCCUGUGGGUCGGCUCCUCUCAAAUGAAUCAGCUUGCCGGUUUUUGGUGGGCAUCACAGGUGUGAUAACUAUCUACGCUUGUGGUUUUCCACCAGGGUAACCUUCAGCAGUGGAGGUUCACUGGAGCUUACAAAUGUCUCUCCUCUGUGAGGACAGCCCUUUGAAUGUUUGAUCUCAAAUCAGGUAGGACUACCCGCUGAACUUAAGCAUAUCAAUAAGCGGAGGA
rnacentral:misc_RNA from 1 species